rnacentral:rRNA from 1 species
AUGAACGCUGGCGGCGUGCCUAAUACCUGCAAGUCGAGCGAACGGACGAGAAGCUUGCUUCUCUGAUGUUAGCGGCGGACGGGUGAGUAACACGUGGAUAACCUACCUAUAAGACUGGGAUAACUUCGGGAAACCGGAGCUAAUACCGGAUAAUAUUUUGAACCGCAUGGUUCAAAAGUGAAAGACGGUCUUGCUGUCACUUAUAGAUGGAUCCGCGCUGCAUUAGCUAGUUGAUAAGGUAACGGCUUACCAAGGCAACGAUGCAUAGCCGACCUGAGAGGGUGAUCGGCCACACUGGAACUGAGACACGGUCCAGACUCCUACGGGAGGCAGCAGUAGGGAAUCUUCCGCAAUGGGCGAAAGCCUGACGGAGCAACGCCGCGUGAGUGAUGAAGGUCUUCGGAUCGUAAAACUCUGUUAUUAGGGAAGAACAUAUGUGUAAGUAACUGUGCACAUCUUGACGGUACCUAAUCAGAAAGCCACGGCUAACUACGUG